CCUGAAGGAACGUUGAAGACGACGACGUUGAUAGGCCGGGUGUGUAAGCGCAGCGAUGCGUUGAGCUAACCGGUACUAAUGAACCGUGAGGCUUAACCUUA
rnacentral:rRNA from 1 species